AUGUGAAAGUCCGGGGUUCAACUGCCUCUUCAAGAUUAAGACUGUGAUUGACCACGUUCUGGGGAAAAUCAAGGCCAGCUACCAACCAAGAAGAGACCUCUGCAGACGAAGGGAUGAUUGGCUUUCAAGGAAGACUGUCCUUCAAGCAAUACAUGCCCGCGAGGCCGACAAAGUACAGGAUUAAGGUUUGGAUGUGUGCCGAUGCAAGUAAUGGAGACAGUGGUGGGAAAAUUAAGGGGAGAGAAGAUCCGAAAGCAACUAGAAUUUCGCAGGAAACUCAUGCACGGACUCAUCGCAGGAUUUUCAUCACUGACCAUAGAGAAUGCCGAAGGACACCCCAUCAAGAAGAUAGACGGCAGAAAGAAUGUGUCCACUGCUAGAAAAUCGGGGAAAAGACACCACACCAAAAGGACGAGCGAUGGAAACGCAUUACAAGUGCGCCCAAUGCACUGUCGCGUUGUGCCGGGAUGGAUGCUUCCGCGACUACCACGCCAUCCGAUAAAACUCACAACUUCACCGAUGUCAUGAAAGCUUCUUUG